UCUUCCCCUAUAAUCUUCUUCGUAUCUAAUCGCAUACAUUCGUAGAUAUAUAAAAACACAUACACACACACACACACACACACACACGUACGUGCGAUCGAGCGAUCCUUGCGGCGACCCUAGUCUCCGCCGAAGGCGACGGCGAACAGCUUGCAUAACUUUCUUUCUUCUCGAUACCGAUAAUUAUUUAAUACCUUAUCCGACUGAACAGCAGCAGCGCCGCUCGCAAAGCAAAAUACACGCGCGUUCGCGUGCCUAUGUUUCUCCGGCCGUGAUAAAACUCAUUUGCAUAAUAAAACGUAGACUCUCGGCGCGGCGAACUUGCAAACUGUAUCGUCCCGCGAAUCGCUGUCGGUGCGUAUACAAACGGGCACGCGUGUGUGUGUAUCCGCGUGUGUAUAAUCUGUUCUAUACACGCACAGAGAAUAUACACCACCAAGCCACGAAUCUCCGAGCGUUUUUCGCGCGUCUCAGCAAAUCUUUAUCUCUCUAACGCGUUGUUCUCUUUCUCUGUUCCUACCUGCAGCACGUAACGCGUAGAAUAUACAGAUAAAACACUCACAUACACAUAUACAUACACACACGCACACGCAGGCACGCACGAAGUACAGAGACAGGUGCGUGUAAGCACAGAGAGUAAAGAAGAGAGAGGACGUAUAUGCUCGCCACUUGGCGUCUCUCUUUUAUGUGCGUGUCCGUAUCGACUGGUGACCCCGUUAGUCAGCAUAGUCAGUCACUUUGCUUGCUCGCUCGCUCACCGGUUAGAACUUAGCCAGGCCUCGUUCGUUCGCUCGCUCACUCUUCCUUUCAGUUUGCAAGCGAAAGUAAAGGCCUAAUAAAAAGCCCGCAAACUGGUUUUUCUGGUAUAUCGCGCGUUAAUGCUAAGGAGAGCCAGGCAGGCCGACUAGCAGCGACGUUCUGCACCCGGUGCGCGCCUCUAGCCGCCUGUUCCUUCUGUUUCCAUCGCGACCAUUUGUUUCCAACCACCUAUCGACGAUCCCUAUCCCUCUAUUUCCUUCGUUACGGCUAAUUUCUCAUCACCUAUCGACGAUCCUCGUCUCCCUGUUUCCUUCGCUGUCACUAGUUUUCGAUCAUCAAUCGACGUGGCGUUGCUCCUCCUAAUAAUCAUUUUCAUUGUUGUUCUUACUAUUAUCCUCGUCUCUGUGAUCUACGGUAGCAAUAGCCGGCCGUUACAUCGAAGCUUUCGUUCCUUCUUCGUAGCUUCCAUCGUCGAAUACACUGCGGAUGUUCCAGUGGAAAAUGGAGAAGAUUCGCGAACGUUAAUUACAUUCUCGAUUUGCAACGAAGGGUUUAAGAUAUUUGUUGUCGUGUUGUCGAAGAUGUUAUUAGUUUCGAUGGUUUUGCAUGAUUGCGUGGUUGUUCGUAAUCGGUAGAUGACGGACGUUUGUGCAAAUUUAGGUUUUAUUUAAUUCGUUAAGGAAAUGAAAUCUAAGCAGACAUUUCUGUCGCACACUAAUUAUCAUAAAUUGUAUGUUUCGAACAUUCUUAUUCAUUAUAUAUAUGUAGAGUACAUAUUCGGCACAUUUAAAUUUUCCAAUAAACAGCAUAAACAUCCCGUCUAUUAAUUAGAAUUGACAGUUUUGUGUUUCUUUUUAGGAUUACAUGGUAAUUUUGUUAAAUGUGAAAUAUUAGAAUGACUUGAGUCGGCACUCUACCGAUUUUGGAUCGAUAUUUAUAUAAUGUAUCGUAUGAAGCGUAGAAAGAAAAGACUUCUUUUUUUCUACCACAACAAGUUUGAAAUUUUAGAUCGAUAUGUAUCCAGAAUGUGUUUAGAUAGAUCUUAAGAAGCCUCGAAUUUGGAACUCGAGAUAAAUUGUAACUUGCGGAAGUUUGACUUGCGAGUUCAAUGGCUGAUAUAAUUAGAGUGCUCCAGACUAUCUUCGACUAUUUCGAAAUAGACACGAGGGACGAGCAACACGCGUUUUACCACUUACGAUUAGCAUCGUGUACGAAUCAUUUAGUUCUCAUUCCUUCGUGGGAUCCUCGGUGAUGCCAGAUAUUCUCCCUCGACUUCUUUUGUACCAGGCGAUUUAGCCACCUUAAGUACGACUUAAUAACGUGCGAAUUAAUCAAACGAUACACACGCACGAUCUUCUCAGAUACAUUGUUUAAAACGAAUAAAAGAAUUAAAGAAAAAAAGAUUUAAAAAAAAGCGUAAAAGAAGAUGAGAGUACAGGUGAACCGUUUUUUCUCGGAUGUUUACACGAUGUGCGAGGACGAACACAUAUAAGCGGAAGGGACGAAACGAAGGGAAGCAUUUCUCGAUCUGGCAUCACUCGACGAGGAGAAGAUACGUAGAUCGAGGAAACGCGACGGCACUUGUGUCCGUUUCCGCUCGCUGCUCCACUGUGAACAUCACCGUUCUGUCGCUCCUUCGAACGUUGCUUUGUUUAAGCAACGACGACUUUGUGGUGAAAAGAAAAAAUCGUAUAAAAAGAGAUGGGACGGAAUUGAAUUGAAAAAUUACGGGAAAAAAGGGGAAUAAGUUUAAACGAUAAAUCGCGUGAAAAGGUGGGAAAGAUUUACGAAUUUGAAUGAAAAAUUGCGUAAGAAGGGUGAUAAUCGCAUUUUUAUUGAUAAAUCGCGUGGAAAUGGAGAAGAUCGAGUUACUCGUGAAAAAUUGAAUGGAAAGGGGAGGAAUAUAAUUACUCGAGUGAAAAAUCGCGUGGAAAGGCAGAAGAUGGAAUUUAAUCUGUCCGCUUGAUGAUAGUAGAAAAAAGUGAUUUUCUUUCUAUGUAAUGUUUCCAUAAAAAAUGCCACGUUUCUUGUCUAUCGUUAGCAAAGAUAUAAAUGAACAUUCGCGUUAUAUGUUCAGAGAAAUGGAUUUUUCUUUUUGUUUUUAAGAGAACAUUUUAUUAGUUUCGUGGAUUCUUGCGUGGAACGUGCCGUUCUAGAUUUAAGAUCGAUGUUCGAUUCGACCCAUUGGAAGCCUGUUUUAACUCUACUACGCUCUUCAAGACGUUUUCGAUUCGAUUCGUAUUUCUCGGUCGUUGGAAAAAUUGAUUAAGUUUAAAGAAAAUAUGAGAGAAUCGUUAUUAAAAUUCUCGUUUCAAUUUUAUGCGAAAUAUUAAGGGUCUUUUUAUUUACUGAAACGAGAAUAGAAAAAUUCGAAGAUCGUGGUUGAGUUAGCCGUUAGUUUUCGAUGUCAAGCAACGACGUUUUCCUCUUUCUUUAUUUUUCAAGUAAUGAAAUCGGCGAUACUGAUGACGAACGUUUCUAUAUGAAACGCGUCGUAUUAUUUUUUUAAUCUAGCAACGCCUCGUUGUUUCGUAUAUUUUUUCAGAGAAUGAACAUUUUUACGAUCGAAGAGAAGAUUCGAUCAAAUAGUUUUAUGUUGUUUCGAUUCUAAGCGCAAUUCCAAUGGGUUGGUCGUUUUAAAAUUGAAUUUCUUUACGUAUAAAGCUUGUGUAUUUUAUUAUAUCGACAAACGUGGAGUUUCGUUUGAAAAAGACGAAACCCAAUUUGAUUGUCACAAUGUGAAAAAUAGAAAAGCCAAAAGAAACAAAGAUUAUAUAUAACAAGAAGAAGAAAAAAGAAAGAAGCGAAAAAAGGGAGGUUGAGCAAUCAUGGUAUUCAGCCAACAUAGUGUAGUAAUAUAUAUAAGUAUAAAUCGGUUAAUAAUUAAGUAAAGUGAAAUCAAGAAAAUGAAGUAUCAAAAUUAGUAUGUAAAACAGAAGAAUAUAAGAAGGAAGCGUAAAAAUAAAUUACAGAUUGUAUAAAAUACUCGAAUCAACGAUGAAUGACUCGAAAUGGGAGAAUUUACAAUUUGAAGCUCAAGCAGAUGUAUAGUAUAAAUGUUCGACCUCUCGCGAUUCAUUUCCGCUUUUACGUAACGGGGAUUCGAUUUACUAUAAUUCUGUGCAUAAUCGAAUAAUAUCUUUGGUUGUAAGUGCGUCCGUCGUAAUCUGGAACAGAGAUCCUUUUUAACAUACUUGAACAAGGGGAAUCACAAUAUAGUUUGCACUCAAUUGCGAUAAUCGAACUCUUUUCUCAUAAAUGUUUCUUUGUUUCCUACGAAAAUACGAUCGUACAAAGAUGCAUAUUUUUCAGUAAUUUCCAACCAGACUUUGAGCCUAACGAUCGCCUACUCAAACCUUUUUUCCCCCAAAAUUAUUAUACAAUUUCGUAGAUUUGAAGAAAAUUUAUGCCAAUUUCUUUUUAUGAUUCCCAAUUUGGUUUGCAAGGGAUUUAAAAAAUAUUAAUAAAAAUAAUAAUUAAUAUUAUAGUUAAUAUAUCAAUUCUUUUCUAAGACUAAGAUAUCUGUUCAGAUUACGAAGAGUGCGCGUGAAAAGAAGAAAAGAAGAAACCACAAGCUUAUCGCGAAGAAAGCAAGAUUUUCGAUUAGAGUCUGAAAUAACCGGAAGUGCUCUUCAUCUUCGUCGGCGGACCGAGAUUUUCGACAGACUUCCGGUUACAGACGACGAAAUUGUUUGCGAUUCGCUUUUUUUUUUUUACUCUCCUCUUCGAUAGAAUCCGUUUUCCCUUCGAAAGAUGUGAUCGUUCCCCUGGAAACGACCCGAUCGAGCUGUACUUGUCUGUUUUUCGAACGCGUGUAUCGAAGAAGAAGAAGAAAAGAAAGAAAACGGAUGAAAAAGGGAGGGUAGUAUAAAAGAUUAGACGAUAGAGAUAGGCAAAGGAAAAUGUGAGACAACGACACACGCACAUAAGGCGUAUGGAAAUAAAUAGACUCGAUGAUGAUUGCUAUUGUUAAUCGAUCAUCGACGAUUAACUUGUAAGAGGAUAUUGCGGCGAUAAAUAGCGAAGUUUAAUAUUACCCGUUUGUAUACUAAGGAGAAAAUUUACAAAAAAAAAAAAAGGCGAAGUAAAUGUGGAAAAAUAAUAAACGACAAGAAUGUAAGAGAUGGAGAAAUAUUAUAUAUAUAUAUAUACGUAUAAUAUUUAAUUUGUAAUAGGGAAUACAUAAAUAUUAUAUGUGCAUAUAUGCGAUGUAAGUAAUAUAGAACGUAUGUGAGAGAGAAAGAGAGAGCUAUUUUGUAGGAUGAGUUCGAAGAGUGCGUAAGUGGGCGGCGAUUUACUUCUUUUUUUAUUUCUCUGACUUGCCCAUGAAUAUAUAUUCCCAUAUGUAAGAAAUGUUAUAAGGAUUACCUAUAAAACAUGAAAAUAAAUAUCAUGUAAACACCGAGAA